ensembl:lncRNA
GGUGAACUAUAAAUGCAGAUGCAAGGCAGUAAAAAAAGGUUUGUGUAUAAUGAAUGAGUCACACAAUGCUUUCCUGUAAGCACAUUUAGUCAGUUGAGGGUCUUCAACUUUAGUCAUUUGUAUCAGCUGUAUAAAGAAGUUAUAAAUGAAAAUACAUGGGAAAAAAAGAUAAAAUUAUAUAAAAAUAUGUUUUUAAAGUUAAUAACUUUAAUAAAUCUUCAUUAAAAAAUGCAUACACCUGUUGUACACUGUAAUGUCCUAUUACCCAUUUAAGAAAUGUUUCUUUAUUUAAAUAAAUUAUAAAUUACAUAUUUAAUGUAACUACCAGUGUUACCAAAGAAAAGUGGAUAGAUGAACAAAUAAAGAAUAAUGUCAAGCCAGUGUGUGCGCGCCUGUCUCUGCUCUGCGUGAUGAGUCUCCAUCUGAACAUCCGGGCCUCUCUUCAUCGAGCACAUCUCCAUGUACUACUUGUUCAGGGGUGGAUUCAUGUCCCUUUAGCUGUGGCCACUUCCAGCUAGAGUCAGUAAACACAAUUAGAUUUGUUCCAAAUUAAACAAAUUCGUGGAACAAAUACCUGCUUAACACAUUAUUCCACUAGCGUUCAUUUAUUAAGUCCUGCCCCCUGCACUCCAAAAGUGAAAUUGGGUAGUCAUCACAUUUACAAGAGUCUGACUUGUAAUUUGAACAGAAAUUAUUUUAUGUUUCUGUGGUGAAUGUAAUUAAAACAUAUGCAAUCUCCAUUAAAUUCAACAACUUAACACUCGUUAAACGUAUUCUUGUUGAGAUGAAGCGAUAAGUGCUAGCAAGAGUGGUUAGUUGCCUGGACUCGCGAUAUCACAAGAUCACACGGGAUUUUAAACAACAGGCAAAUCACUGCGGUUAUGAAACCAACUAGUAUUUAUUGUGGUUUAACCUGUCAGAGAUAUAAAACAUAAUGAAAAUUCUGUAUGAAGCUUUGCAAUCAUAGUAUUCCUAUUUUUUAAGCAUGGAGUGUAUGAUGAUGUAGUUGUUAGCACUGUUGCCUCACAACAGGAAAGUCCUGAGUUUGAAUCCACCGACCGGCACCUUUCUGCGUGGAGUUUGCACAAUUUUGUUGGCUUUGGCUUCCGUUAGGUCAGACCUUCCCAAAGUGUGGGGCGGGGCGGGCCCCACAAAAUGCUUGGACAAACAAAAUGCUUGGAAACCGCUAGCACGGGGCGCCCACAAACACAAAGCAGGAAAUGAAGCAUCGCUGAAUAUGUUUCCAAACCAACUUCAUUCUAAGCCAAAGACUAGAAAAUAUGGUGAAGGAUAUCUUCCCUUUGGUUUCACCUGCACAAGUGCCGAGGUAGGUCUCCCCUGCAGAAUUGGUUUUCCCUUCAUGGGAGCAGCGCUGGGCUCUCAUGUUAAUCAGGACAAACAGUAUCCCACAGUU